GGAAAGUCCAUAGCUCAGUAGCAGAGCACAUGCUUCAAAUGCAAGAGCCCCAGGUUCAUUCCCUAGACUUUCCA